rnacentral:rRNA from 1 species
UACAGAGGUGGCAAGCGUUGUUCGGAAUUACUGGGCGUAAAGGGCGCGUAGGCGGCCUUCUAAGUCAGACGUGAAAUCCCCCGGCUUAACCUGGGAACUGCGUCUGAUACUGGAAGGCUUGAGUAUGGGAGAGGGAUGUAGAAUUCCAGGUGUAGCGGUGAAAUGCGUAGAUAUCUGGAGGAAUACCGGUGGCGAAGGCGGCAUCCUGGACCAUAACUGACGCUGAGGCGCGAAAGCUAGGGGAGCAAACGGG